GGUGUGUACUGGUCUUGAUGGAAGCUUACCUCUUGGUGGGUCGGCAUGCCCUUCGUUGGGUGUGUCGAUUAACCAGGACUUUUACUUUGAGAAAAUUAGAGUGUUCAAAGCAGGCUUUCGCCCGAAUACAUUAGCAUGGAAUAAUAGAAUAGGACGCGCGUCUUUAUUUUGUUGGUUUCUAAAUUCGCCGUAAUGAUUAAUAGGGAUAGUCGGGGGCAUUCGUAUUGCUUGGUCAGAGGUGAAAUUCUUGGAUUCUAGCAAGACGAACUACUGCGAAAGCAUUUGCCAAGGAUGUUUUCAUUGAUCAAGAACGAAGGUUAGGGGAUCGAAAACGAUCAGAUACCGUUGUAGUCUUAACAGUAAACUAUGCCGACUAGGGAUCGGACAAGCACAAUCUAUGACUUGUUCGGCACCUGAAGAGAAAUCUUUAAGUCUAGGUUCGGGGGGGAGUAUGGUCGCAAGGCUGAAACUUAAAGGAAUUGACGGAAGGGCACCACCAGGUGUGGAGCCUGCGGCUUAAUUUGACUCAACACGGGGAAACUCACCAGGUCCAGACACAAUAAGGAUUGACAGAUUGAUAGCUCUUUCUUGAUCUUGUGGUUGGUGGUGCAUGGGCCGUUCUUAGUUGGUGGAGUGAUUUGUCUGGGUUAAUUCCGAUAACGAACGAGACCUCAACCUCCUAAAUAGACCCGGGGCCUUAGGGAACCGGCUGUCUUUUUAGAGGGACGGUAGG
rnacentral:rRNA from 1 species